rnacentral:rRNA from 1 species
AUUGAACGCUGGCGGCAGGCCUAACACAUGCAAGUCGAGCGGAUGAAGGGAGCUUGCUCCUGGAUUCCGCGGCGGACGGGUGAGUAAUUCCUAGGAAUCUGCCCGGUAGUGGGGGAUAACGUCAGGAAACGGGCGCUAAUACCGCAUACGCCAUGAGGGAGAAAGUGGUGGAUCUUCGGACCUCACGCUAUCAGAUGACACUAGGUCGGAUUAGCUAGUUGGUGGGGUAAAGGCCUACCAAGGCGACGAUCCGUAACUGAUCUGAGAGGAUGAUCAGUCACACUGGAACUGAGACACGGUCCAGACUCCUACGGGAGGCAGCAGUAGGGAAUAUUGGACAAUGGGCGAAAGCCUGAUCCAGCCAUGCCGCGUGUGUGAAGAAGGUCUUCGGAUUGUAAAGCACUUUAAGUUGGGAGGAAGGGCAGUAAGUUAAUACCUGGCUGUUUUGACGUUACCAACAGAAUAAGCACCGGCUAACUUCGUG